rnacentral:rRNA from 1 species
GACGAACGCUGGCGGCGUGCUUAACACAUGCAAGUCGAACGGAAAGGCCCUGCUUUUGUGGGGUGCUCGAGUGGCGAACGGGUGAGUAACACGUGAGUAACCUGCCCUUGACUUUGGGAUAACUUCAGGAAACUGGGGCUAAUACCGGAUAGGAGCUCCUGCUGCAUGGUGGGGGUUGGAAAGUUUAGGCGGUUGGGGAUGGAGUGGGGGCUUAUCAGCUGGUUGGGGGGGUAGUGGCUUACCAAGGCAUUGACGGGUAGUCGGCCUGAGAGGGUGGACAGCGACCUGGGGACUGAGAUACGGCCCAGACGCCUACGGGAGGCAGUAGUGGAAAAUAUUGCACAAUGGGCGGAAGCCUGAUGCAGCAACGCCGCGUGCGGGAUGACGGCCUUCGUGUUGGAAACCGCUUUAGCCUGUGACGAAGCGGGAGUGACGGUAAUGGGUAAAGAAGCACCGGCUAACUACGUG